AGAGUUUGAUCAUGGCUCAGGACGAACGCUGGCGGCGUGCUUAACACAUGCAAGUCGAGCGGAAAGGCCCUUCGGGGUACUCGAGCGGCGAACGGGUGAGUAACACGUGAGUAACCUGCCCUUGGCUCUGGGAUAAGCCCGGGAAACUGGGUCUAAUACCGGAUAUGACCAUCGGAUGCAUGUCUGAUGGUGGAAAGUUUUUCGGCUAAGGAUGGGCUCGCGGUCUAUCAGCUUGUUGGUGGGGUGAUGGCCUACCAAGGCGACGACGGGUAGCCGGCCUGAGAGGGUGACCGGCCACACUGGGACUGAGACACGGCCCAGACUCCUACGGGAGGCAGCAGUGGGGAAUAUUGCGCAAUGGGCGAAAGCCUGACGCAGCGACGCCGCGUGGGGGAUGAAGGCCUUCGGGUUGUAAACCUCUUUCACCACCGACGAAGCUAACGUGACGGUAGGUGGGGAAGAAGCGCCGGCUAACUACGUGCCAGCAGCCGCGGUAAUACGUAGGGCGCAAGCGUUGUCCGGAAUUAUUGGGCGUAAAGAGCUCGUAGGCGGUCUGUCGCGUCUGCCGUGAAAACCCGAGGCUUAACCUCGGGCUGGCGGUGGAUACGGGCAGACUAGAGGUAGGUAGGGGAGAAUGGAAUUCCCGGUGUAGCGGUGAAAUGCGCAGAUAUCGGGAGGAACACCGGUGGCGAAGGCGGUUCUCUGGGCCUUACCUGACGCUGAGGAGCGAAAGCAUGGGGAGCGAACAGGAUUAGAUACCCUGGUAGUCCAUGCCGUAAACGUUGGGCGCUAGGUGUGGGGUCCUUCCACGGAUUCCGUGCCGUAGCUAACGCAUUAAGCGCCCCGCCUGGGGAGUACGGCCGCAAGGCUAAAACUCAAAUGAAUUGACGG
rnacentral:rRNA from 1 species